UCUGCCCAGUGGUGUCAAGAU
ensembl:piRNA 21ur-4109 ncRNA